AGAGUUUGAUCCUGGCUCAGGAUGAACGCUAGCGGCAGGCCUAACACAUGCAAGUCGAGGGAGAAGCCCUUCGGGGCAGAAACCGGCGCACGGGUGCGUAACGCGUAUGCAACCUACCUUUCACAGGGGGAUAGCCCGAAGAAAUUUGGAUUAAUACCCCAUAACAUUGCGAGAUGGCAUCAUUUAGCAAUUAAAACUGCGGUGGUGAGAGAUGGGCAUGCGUCCUAUUAGCUAGUUGGAGUGGUAACGGCACCCCAAGGCUACGAUAGGUAGGGGUCCUGAGAGGGAGAUCCCCCACACUGGUACUGAGACAGGGACCAGACUCCUACGGGAGGCAGCAGUGAGGAAUAUUGGUCAAUGGUCGGAAGACUGAACCAGCCAUGCCGCGUGCAGGAAGAAUGCCUUAUGGGUUGUAAACUGCUUUUAUAUGGGAAGAAUAAGGUGUACGAGUACAUUGAUGACGGUACCAUAUGAAUAAGCAUCGGCUAACUCCGUGCCAGCAGCCGCGGUAAUACGGAGGAUGCGAGCGUUAUUCGGAAUCAUUGGGUUUAAAGGGUCUGUAGGCGGGCUAUUAAGUCAGGGGUGAAAGGUUUCAGCUUAACUGAGAAAUUGCCUUUGAUACUGGUAGUCUUGAAUAUCUGUGAAGUUCUUGGAAUGUGUAGUGUAGCGGUGAAAUGCUUAGAUAUUACACAGAACACCGAUUGCGAAGGCAGGGGACUAACAGACAAUUGACGCUGAGAGACGAAAGCGUGGGGAGCGAACAGGAUUAGAUACCCUGGUAGUCCACGCU
rnacentral:rRNA from 1 species